GGAAUCCGCUAAGGAGUGUGUAACAACUCACCUGCCGAAUGAAUUAGCCCUGAAAAUGGAUGGCGCUGAAGCGGGUAGCCGACACCACGCCGUCUGGACAAAGUGGUUUUUUCAGAUGAGUAGGAGGGCGUGGCGGUUGUAUCGAAGCGUGGAUGCGAAUCUGCGUGGAACAGCCGCUAGUGCAGAUCUUGGUGGUAGUAGCAAAUAUUCAAGCGAGAUCCUUGAAGGGCGAAGCGGGGAAGGGUUCCACGCGAACAUUGAUUGGGCGUGGGUGAGUCGUUCCUAAGCCGCGUGGCAAUAGCUAAUUACCGGCGAAAGGGAAGCAGGUUGACAUUCCUGCACACGGAUGUGGAGACGGCGACGAUACGUGAGGCGAUCACGCUGGCGGUGGCGCUGGGCAGAGUUGUCUUUUCUGUUUGACCAUUGAAUACUUGCUGUGUGGAAUCCGCUUGUCGGGAGAAACACGCAGGUACGGGCAGAGCGCCGGGGCUUUUCCGGCGUCCAGCUCGCCACCGACGGCCCUUGAAAAAUUGCCUGCUGGACAACAUUUCGGUGUUGUGAGAUCCACGCCGUGGCGUACCGAUAACCGCAUCAGGUCCCCAAGGUGAACAGCCUCUGCUCAGUAUGAACAAUGCAGGUAAGGGAAGUCGGCA
rnacentral:rRNA from 1 species